rnacentral:lncRNA from 1 species
UUUCCUUUCCGUGCCACCAGGAGCUUCUGAGAUUAUAUAAAGCACAUGAAGAUGUGGUUACAGUACUGUUUUAUACCUUAAUGUUUUCAACGUAAAUCUGAACACUGGAAGCAGUUUCAUGGAGUUUAGGCUGAGUGAACAUUGGCCAUGGAAAUCCAUUACAAAUAAAUACUUUUACAUCAAUACUCUUAUUUUUAAAAAGAAGAAGAACCACUUUUUUAUAGUCCCCAUGUUUGCCCUAGGCCUGCCUUAAGUGGAAGGAAGAUUAAUCACUUAACUAUAUUUUACAAAAGAAAAAAUAGGGCUUUGGAUGCUAUUACUCGUAAUAUAAAAAGUGUGAUUCUAUUUCACUAAGGCAAUUAUUUUUUUAAGAAAUCACUAUAAUAUGAAAAAAUGUGGCAGUUUGUACACCUUUGGUGGCUUGAUUUAAAGAAAAGAAUGAGAAUGUAUUGAUGUCUAUUUGAUGAAUUUUCUAUAUUUAUCAGGAGAACACUUUAUUGCCUUAAGUUUACCAACCAUGUAGCAGAGCCUCCUAGCUUUCCAGCAGAGCUACCUGCCAAAUGAGUUUGUGUAUUAAACAAUGCUGCAAAAAGAUAGGGACAUCAGCAUUCACUUAACAGUAACAAUGAGGACUUCUAAGCAGCUGGAACCAAGAUACCAUGCUAACUCUAUGCAUUCCCAAAGUCAAGGCACCGUGGAGGAUGUUCAGUCAGGUCUUCCAAAGUCAGUGAACCUGAUUAACCCUUUAUUGAUAUGCAUUCUACACGUAUUUCAACCUAGACAUCUUGUUCUUGUGUCUGCUGUAGAAGGAAACUCUAUCUUUGUUAAACCAUAGAGAUUAUCAUGGUAUACAUGCUGUGAACAUGUAUAUGUACAAGUUGUAAUGUAUUCUGUGUUGUAGGCAUAUUAUUUAAUUUCACCACGUCAUCACUUUUGUACAGUGGCCAAGCAGACACCUCCAACUCCAGCAUUUCCAUUAAGUGCAUUUGUACAUUUUAGGCCGCUGGAUCCAGAUUUUAUAUUGGCAGUUACUGAGGGCUAAAGCAAUAUAUUGUAACAGAAUGUAUAAAUAUUUUUGAUAAAACAGUCUAUAUUUUAUAAAAAGUUAUUAUAACACUAAAGCUGUACCUCAAAAGUCUCACAAAUAAUUUGAUCAAAUGCUCUACGCAUCCUCAGAGGAUCCGUUCCUGGCUUUGUAUCGCUCUUACCAUAUGCCUGUUUGCAAAUCAUGAUCUUCACUGGGCUGGAAUUUUAUUAGAUUUUUGUUUUGUUUUUCCCUUUUUUCUCCUAGGCUGUCACUCUGUUGUUCUCCCUCAGUUCAGUAAUAUCAAUAACUCUUUGCUUAGCAUGUUAGGGCCAUGAUACCUCAGGAACAGCAGAAUGGUAACAACCACACUCGAAUUAACCAUGUAAUCACAGUGAGCUCAUCUCUUACAAUUUUCCAAAUCUGCGUUAUUGAGAAGCAGGAAAGUACACAAAUAAUGAAGAGUUGAGCUUGAAACAGCUUUGCUGACAUACAUUGGCCUGUUGUUAUUGUACUCUGAGAAUGAUUACAAUUGUCCAGAGAUUCUUUAUAUUACCUUCCAAAUUCAUUAUUAUUUUUCACUUAAGAUCCUUUGGAAGAAAAUUUUCUAAAAAGAGAAGCAAUAUGUUGCUGUAAAUUGCUUUAAAAUGCCAGUUAGUUGCCUUGGAAGAGAACAAUAGAAAAAAAAAAAAUAGCGUAAUUGUCUAGCUUUAAUUGACCAGUGUUAACUCAGUCUGAAAAUAAAACACUAACUACUUUUGAGGUACAGUCUGCAUACCUUUGUUGGUUCUGAAAUAUGCAUAGAAAGCAACUUUUCAAAUGGGCUUUUAGCAUUAAAAACUGACAUAGAGUUAUAUACACAGUGUACAAAAAUUUUUUUAAUUGAAGUCAAUCAUUAAAAAAUUUAGAGGUCAGGGCAUAGUCACACAAUUAUGC